GGUGAAAGAAACUUGGGGUGGGAAAUGUUUUCAUUGUGGGAUAUCAGCAGUUUUGUAUUUCCAGAUUUUUUUUUUAAUUUUUUGUUUUUUAUUCCCUCAAUAACCACUAACCUGUGGCGCUGUCAUUUAAAAAAAGAAAAAAAGGAUAAUCUUUUAUUUGUACAAAUUGGUAACUUCAAUUUCCCAGAUAUCUACAGACAUGUAUUAGUGAAGGCCCAUUUUUUUAAUGUUUUUUUUUUUUUUUUAAAUGGUUUCUAUUUCACAGACAAUGCCUUGUCAUGCUGGAUCGAGCCUCAUUUUACUUUUUUUAUAGUCAACACAGACUUUAUAUUGUAAAACGAAGCCCGGGUUUUCUAGAGUUCGUAUUGCAUUCCUAUGCAGUCGUAUGUUAUAUAUCGCCCUCCACUGGCCAGUUAAUAAUCUGAUUGUUACAUUCCAUUCCAUUGUCCCUCUCCAUCAACCUUUAACUUUAAAUGAUGCACUAACAACUUAUCUUCUGGUUUACAGUCUACAAUACACAGGUCUGAUUCUUUAUAUUGUUUUUAUAAGGGACACUGACUUUUUAUUUCCACUGACUUUUUUUAAUUUUUUUUAAUCUAUGGUAUACCAGACAUCUCAUCAAGAUCUGAGGAACUUAAACCCUUCCAUAUAAAAAAAAUAACUUAUUUUCAGUCUAAAUCUAAAGCAAUAUGUUGUUGUAUAGUUAGUCCUGCAAGUUUUCAUUAAUUGGGAUUGUAUUUACAGUCCCUAAUCGGACAGCUCUAUUACCAACCUGUGAGGGAAGAGCGUUCUAGUCUGACUGGUUUGUUGUAAUUGACUCCAGAAAAAUCUAAUUACAAAGCAACCACCCAUGUCAUCGUAGGACAGUUUGGCCUAAAUAAGGUUUAUAUGGAAGGGUAUAUUUUCCGUUUAAAAGUUGCUCAAGCAUAUUUCUGUAUCUCUGUUAGGAUCAAACUUUUUUUAUUUUUUAUUUCAAUUUUUUAUCCUAAAGGACUUGUGACAUUUCUAGCCUUUCACUACUGAAGACCAUAAGAUAAUAAAGCUGUUUUUACAUAAGGUGAAAUAUUGAUUGACUGAUGCAAUUAAAUAAUUAUUCAAAGAACAACCAACAUGCUUUGCUAAGCUACGUGACUUGUAUACAACUACGGUAAAACAUAUAAGCAGAGUAACUCCUUCCUCUCAUUGAAGUGAUUAUACUGUAUUGAGUCCCAUGGCACGUUCCUCCUAUUCAAC